rnacentral:lncRNA from 1 species
AUGCAUACAAACACAUGUAUGCAUGUAUGCAUACAAACACACACAUGCAUACAUGCAUACAAACACACACAUACAAACACAUGCAUACAUGCAUACAAACACACACAAACACACACACAUGCAUGCAUGCAUGCAUACAAACACACACAUAAACACACACACACACACACACACACACACACAUGCAUGCAUGCAUUCAUACAAACACGCACAUACAAACACACACAUACACACAUGCAUGCAUACAAACACACACACACACACAUGCAUGCAUACAAACACACACAUACACACACAUACAUGCAAACAAACACAUACAUACACACACACACAUGCAUGCAUACAAACACACACAUACAACACACACACACACACACACACACACACACACACACACACACACACACACACACACACACACACACACACACACACACACACAUGUGUAAAGUGAUGAAGGAGCCAUUUCUCAGGGUUAUUAUCCUAAAACCACUGUUCCCCUUUGACACAGUGCCAGAGUGCAUGAAACAGCCUCAAGGUCAUGCAUUGUUUGUGAACCAUCCAGUGUUUGUGACUAACAUCAAAGCGUUUCCUUUCGUAGUGGAAGGAGACCUGCUCCGACGCCUUGGAGCCGGCAUUUCACUCAAGGAUUGGACACUCCAAACUCACAUCACUCAACCGACGCCCUUGGCGUCCCUUGGGCACCUCAUUGCAUGUUCAGGCGGUGACAAAAUCAACAGAACCGUCAAACUGGUCGAGCAAUCCAGUACCAGUAAGGUCAGUGACAUCCAGAGAGUCUGCGUAGUCUCUGCAACACCACUCCACACAGAGGUGUGGAAAACACCUACCCUAGUGGGAGUUGGCGGUUGCAAUGACACACCACCUGAGACUCCGCACCCUGCGGUGGGGACAUCACCUGCUAAAGGGGGGACUGAGGGUGGCGCUGAUACUCCGGCUGAAGCCCAGAACCUUGCGGUGGGGACUCCCCCUGCCGAAGGACAGGCUGAUGACGUCGCUGAUGUUACUGCGCUACAGCAGGCGCUGGUGACCUUUAGCCCAGAGGUUGGUGACCCACCUACCGAAGGUGAGGGGAUCCGGUGCCCUGUACCACCACUGGUUGACCACCGAUCUCUCCGACUGCACCUGCGCGUCGACCGAGGGCCCUCCGGAGCCUCCACCUGCGUCGAACCCUCGCAAGGCCGUGCCAGUCUACAACCUACAGCGUCCCUGGUUUCCAUUUCAGGUCUGAUAAAAUACGUUUUGUUAAUCACGUGUUUCGGGCCGCUAUCAACCGCAGUUGAUAUCCAUCCUCAGCCACCACUAACGCGCCUGUAUGAACCUGGGCCCUCUUCAGGUAUCGUACUCUGA